rnacentral:sRNA from 1 species
ACCCGUCACGCGCUCGCGCACGAUGCGCGUGACAAGUCAGACAUACGACACGGUGCCACGGGAAGAAACGGGGCACUUUAGGGCGUU